rnacentral:rRNA from 1 species
CCUACGGGAGGCAGCAGUGAGGAAUAUUGGUCAAUGGGCGGAAGCCUGAACCAGCCAAGUCGCGUGAGGGCUUAAGGCCCUGCGGGUCGUAGACCUCUUUUGCCGGGGAGCAGUGGUCCGGACGCGUCCGGACCGGGAGAGUACCCGGAGAAAAAGCUCCGGCUAACUACGUGCCAGCAGCCGCGGUAAUACGUAGGGAGCGAGCGUUGUCCGGAAUUACUGGGCGUAAAGGGCGCGGAAGCGGGAACUUAAGUUAGAUGUGAAAACUCCGGGCUUAACCUGGAGACUGCAUUUAAAACUGGGUUUCGUGAGGGCAGGAGAGGAAAGUGGAAUUCCUAGUGUAGCGGUGAAAUGCGUAGAUAUUAGGAGGAACACCAGUGGCGAAGGCGACUUUCUGGACUGUACCUGACGCUGAGGCGCGAAAGCAUGGGGAGCGAACAGGAUUAGAUACCCCUGGUAGUC